GACGAACGCUGGCGGCGUGCCUAACACAUGCAAGUCGAACGGAAAGGCCCUGCUUUUGUGGGGUUCUCGAGUGGCGAACGGGUGAGUAACACGUGAGUAACCUGCCCCUGACUUUGGGAUAACUUCAGGAAACUGGGGCUAAUACCGGAUAUGAUCUCCUGCUGCAUGGGGGGCGUUGGAAAGUGUCGGCGGUUGUGGGUGUACUCGAGGCUUACAGCUUGUUGGUGGUGUAGUGGCUGACCACGGCUUUGACGGGUAGCCGGCCUGAGAGGGUAACCGGCCACCUUGGGACUGAGAUACGGAGCAGACUGCUACGGGCGGCAGCAGUGGGGAAUAUUGCACAAUGGGCGGAAGCGUGAUGUAGAAACGCCGCGUGCGGGAUGACGGGCUUCGGGUUGUAAACCGAUUUGGCAUGUGACGAAGAGUGAGUGACGGUAAUGGGUAAAGAAGCACCGGCUAACUACGUG
rnacentral:rRNA from 1 species